GGUGUUGGGGUGGUUGGGGUAUUUCAACCAUGAUAAAUUUCUAAGAUGUUAUAAAUGGAUCUCUAAACCAAGAACCAAACUGAUAGUAUUGAAAAGCAACAAUAUCCAUUUCCAUUCACCAUAUAUUCAAGAGCAAUUAAAUAUAACAAUCUAUUUAAUGCAACAUUAAUUUCAAAAUGGUAAUCAGAACACACACACACUCUAUACCUGCUUGCAAGGAACUCCCUUC
rnacentral:misc_RNA from 1 species